rnacentral:rRNA from 1 species
GAUGAACGCUAGCGACAGGCUUAACACAUGCAAGUCGAGGGGCAGCGGGGAUGAGAGCUUGCUCUUAUCCGCCGGCGACCGGCGCACGGGUGAGUAACACGUAUGCAACCUACCCCCUACAGGGGAAUAAUCGGCGGAAACGCCGUCUAAUACCGCAUAUACGCCUUGGAGGCAUCUCUUUGGCGAGAAAGAAUUUCGGUAGGGGAUGGGCAUGCGGCGCAUUAGGUAGUUGGCGGGGUAACGGCCCACCAAGCCGACGAUGCGUAGGGGUUCUGAGAGGAAGGUCCCCCACACUGGUACUGAGACACGGACCAG